rnacentral:rRNA from 1 species
GAUGAACGCUGGCGGCGCGCCUAACACAUGCAAGUCGAACGAUUAAAGCACCUUCGGGUGUGUAUAAAGUGGCGAACGGCUGAGUAACACGUGGGCAACCUGCCCCUCUCAUUGGGAUAGCCACGGGAAACCGUGGAUAAUACCGAAUACUUCGGGACUUCCGCAUGGAAGACUCGAGAAAGCUCCGGCGGAGGGGGAUGGGCCCGCGGCCUGUUAGCUUGUUGGUGGGGUAAUGGCCUACCAAGGCAAUGAUGGGUAGCUGGGUUGAGAGACCGACCAGCGGCAUUGGGACUGAGGCACGGCGCAGAAUCCAACGGGAGGCAGCAGUGGGGAAUCUUGAGGAGUGGGCGAAAGCCUGAUGCAGCGACGCCGCGUGCGGGAUGAAGGCCUACGGGUUGUAAACCACUUUCAGCAGAGACGAGGCGGAAGUGACGGUACCUACAGAAGAAGCCCCGGCUAACUACGUG